rnacentral:rRNA from 1 species
AAUCAACGCUGGCGGCGUGCCUCAGACAUGCAAGUCGAACGAUUAAGACUUCCUUCGGGAAGUGCAUAAAGUGGCGCACGGGUGAGUAACACGUAAGUAAUCUACCCUCGAGUGGGGAAUAACGUUCGGAAACGGACGCUAAUACCGCAUAACGCAGCGGCACCGCAAGGUGACAGUUGUUAAAGGAGUAAUUCGCUUGAGGAGGAGCUUGCGGCAGAUUAGCUUGUUGGUAAGGAACGGCUUACCAAGGCUACGAUCUGUAUCCGGUCUAAGAGGACGGUCGGACACACUGACGCUGAAUAACGGGUCAGACUCCUACGGGAGGCAGCAGUCGGGAAUUUUGGCAAUGGGCGAAAGCCUGACCCAGCAACGCCGCGUGAAGGAUGAAGUAUUUCGGUAUGUAAACUUACGAAAGAA